rnacentral:rRNA from 1 species
UACGUAGGGACCAAGCGUUGUUCGGAUUUACUGGGCGUAAAGGGCGCGUAGGCGGCAAUUCAAGUCAUCUGUGAAAUCUCCGGGCUUAACCCGGAACGGUCAGAUGAUACUGCUUUGCUAGAGUGCGGAAGGGGCAAUCGGAAUUCUCGGUGUAGCGGUGAAAUGCGUAGAUAUCGAGAGGAACACCAGAGGUGAAGACGGGUUGCUGGGCCGACACUGACGCUGAUAGCGCGAAAGCCAGGGGAGGCAAACGGG